AUUGAACGCUGGCGGCAGGCCUAACACAUGCAAGUCGAACGGUAACAGGAAGAAGCUUGCUUCUUUGCUGACGAGUGGCGGACGGGUGAGUAAUGUCUGGGAAACUGCCUGAUGGAGGGGGAUAACUACUGGAAACGGUAGCUAAUACCGCAUAACGUCUCAAAACCAAAGAGGGGGACCUUCUGGCCUCUUGCCAUCGGAUGUGCCCAGAUGGGAUUAGCUAGUAGGUGGGGUAACGGCUCACCUAGGCGACGAUCCCUAGCUGGUCUGAGAGGAUGACCAGCCACACUGGAACUGAGACACGGUCCAGACUCCUACGGGAGGCAGCAGUGGGGAAUAUUGCACAAUGGGCGCAAGCCUGAUGCAGCCAUGCCGCGUGUAUGAAGAAGGCCUUCGGGUUGUAAAGUACUUUCAGCGGGGAGGAAGGGAGUAAAGUUAAUACCUUUGCUCAUUGACGUUACCCGCAGAAGAAGCACCGGCUAACUCCGUG
rnacentral:rRNA from 1 species